AAAUACCUCCACCACCAAUCCCAAUCCAACACCAAUCUUGAUCACAAAUCACCACCUCGCAAUUGUCACUUGCACCACACCAUCGACUGCACAGUAUCAUUCUACAACCUUCAACAAUUGUAACCACAACAUCGGCAUACACCACUUAACAAAAUUGUUAGUCACCAUAAGCCCACUAGCACUACCACAAUGUCACCAACACAGAAAUUGCCGAAGCCACAGCUAACACCACCACCCCACCACCGCCUGAACGAUUACCACCGUCACAACCACAGUCGACACAACACAACACAAACUUACCCCACCACCACAGGGAAA
rnacentral:lncRNA from 1 species